ACCUGACUGCUAUCGGAUUGAUACUAAGCCAUGCGAGUCAUUGUAGCAAUACAAGGCAUACGGCUCANUAACGCGUAGUCAACCUAACCUAUGGACGGGAAUAACCUCGGGAAACUGAGAAUAAUUCCCGAUAGAACAUUAUACCUGGAAUGGUUUAUGUUCCAAAUGAUUUAUCGCCAUAGGAUGGGACUGCGGCCUAUCAGUUUGUUGGUGAGGUAAUGGCCCACCAAGACUAUUACAGGUACGGGCUCUGAGAGGAGUAGCCCGGAGAUGGGUACUGAGACACGGACCCAGGCCCUAUGGGGCGCAGCAGGCGAGAAAACUUUGCAAUGUGCGAAAGCACGACAAGGUUAAUCCGAGUGAUUUGUGCUAAACGAAUCUUUUGUUAGUCCUAGAAACACUAACGAAUAAGGGGUGGGCAAGUUCUGGUGUCAGCCGCCGCGGUAAAACCAGCACCUCNNGUGGUCAGGAUGAUUAUUGGGCCUAAAGCAUCCGUAGCCGGCUCUGUAAGUUUUCGGUUAAAUCUGUACGCUUAACGUACAGGCUGCCGGGAAUACUGCAGAGCUAGGGAGUGGGAGAGGUAGACGGUACUCGGUAGGAAGUGGUAAAAUGCUUUGAUCUAUCGAUGACCACCUGUGGCGAAGGCGGUCUACCAGAACACGUCCGACGGUGAGGGAUGAAAGCUGGGGGAGCAAACCGGAUUAGAUACCCGGGUAGUCCCAGCUGUAAACUAUGCAAACUCAGUGAUGCAUUGGCUUGUGGCCAAUGCAGUGCUGCAGGGAAGCCGUUAAGUUUGCCGCCUGGGAAGUACGUACGCAAGUAUGAAACUUAAAGGAAUUGGCGGGGGAGCACCACAAGGGGUGAAGCCUGCGGUUC
rnacentral:rRNA from 1 species